UGGGGAAUAUUGCACAAUGGGCGCAAGCCUGAUGCAGCCAUGCCGCGUGUGUGAAGAAGGCCUUCGGGUUGUAAAGCACUUUCAGCGGGGAGGAAGGCGUUAAGGUUAAUAACCUUGGCGAUUGACGUUACCCGCAGAAGAAGCACCGGCUAACUCCGUGCCAGCAGCCGCGGUAAUACGGAGGGUGCAAGCGUUAAUCGGAAUUACUGGGCGUAAAGCGCACGCAGGCGGUCUGUCAAGUCGGAUGUGAAAUCCCCGGGCUCAACCUGGGAACUGCAUUCGAAACUGGCAGGCUAGAGUCUUGUAGAGGGGGGUAGAAUUCCAGGUGUAGCGGUGAAAUGCGUAGAGAUCUGGAGGAAUACCGGUGGCGAAGGCGGCCCCCUGGACAAAGACUGACGCUCAGGUGCGAAAGCGUGGGGAGCAAACAG
rnacentral:rRNA from 1 species